CUACGGGGUGCUCCAGUGAGGAAUAUUGCACAAUGGGGGGAACCCUGAUGCAGCAACGCCGCGUGGAGGAUGACGCAUUUCGGUGUGUAAACUCCUUUUAUAUGUCAAGAAAAUGACGGUAGCAUAUGAAUAAGCACCGGCUAACUCCGUGCCAGCAGCCGCGGUAAUACGGAGGGUGCAAGCGUUACUCGGAGUCACUGGGCGUAAAGGACGCGUAGGCGGGUUGGAAAGUCAGGUGUGAAAUCCUACGGCUUAACUGUAGAACUGCACUUGAAACUUCUAAUCUAGAGUAUGGGAGGGGGAGAUGGAAUUAGUGGUGUAGGGGUAAAAUCCGUAGAUAUCACUAGGAAUACCUAAAGCGAAGGCGAUCUCCUGGAACAUUACUGACGCUAAGGCGUGAAAGCGUGGGGAGCAAACAGGAUUAGAUACCCCUGUAGUC
rnacentral:rRNA from 1 species